GGGAACGGCCCGGUCCGCCGUUAGACAACUGACAGCUGGAGGUUAAACAGACUAACGUGCUAACGACGCUAGCCGGCUAACCUGCGGAAGGUUUUUUUUUUUUUUUUUUUUAAGUUAGUUACAUCACUUUACCAGCAAACCCUCCCCAUCCUACAAAAAAAAACUCUGUGUUCACCAACGGAAAGGAUUGCCACAACGGCACUUCUUCCAUUCAUGUUGUUUAGGAGGACGAGGCCAUUAAAACUCACCUUCUUCGAGCCAGGAUCUUUUAAAACAUUUCUUUUUCCACCCGUGGAGGAGAUAAACCCCCCCAACUCUCAGUCUCUGCUGCUGUAGUCUUUCCGUUUACACCACGUCACCGACUGACUGGCGAGCCCGCUCGGUGAGAUUCCUUUGGUCUCCCUCAGUGAAAACCUGCCCCGACACUCGACCAGGCAGCCUGAGGAAUGGAGCGGCGACGGAGGCGGCGGCGGAGGAGGGUUGAGGGUUUGGUGAGGAGCCAAACGCUGCCUGCAUGAGCCAACAAUGGGCCCAGACAGCUAACUGGUUUGGGGAGAUCCAGUGACCUCAGUCAUUGUGUGCAGAGCGAGUAUACUGUGUAUCGUACAGGCUUAAGUUGUUUGAGUGAAUAUAAACUCAACAACAGGUUGUUUUUAUCUUGAGUUUAAGUGGAUUAACUCCUAUUUGAUCAAUAAGAGAAGCAACAGGAGUGAAAUUGAGAACUUUACCUGUGAAAUACGCAUCACAUGUACAGCAGGUGUAACCUUUUUUUGUUUUGAUUAUUAAUCAUGAAAAUAGUUAACUUGUAAACAUUAUGGACAUCAGAUGAAACGCCCACAAAUCCUGGUAAAUUUGGGGUUUGGCUGGAGAACAAAUUUGGGUCAGCGAACAGAUUUCCAGUAGAGAAUUAGGAAUCGUAGCGUAGGUCCAGGUGUUUGUGUUUCUAUGUGAGACUAUAGUGUGUCAACUGUACCUAUUGUGAGGCCACCGACUCAGAUCAAAGCAGCGUAACG
rnacentral:lncRNA from 15 species